rnacentral:rRNA from 1 species
AACGAACGCUGGCGGCAUGCCUAACACAUGCAAGUCGAACGAGACCUUCGGGUCUAGUGGCGCACGGGUGCGUAACGCGUGGGAACCUGCCCUUAGGUUCGGAAUAACUCCCCGAAAGGGGUGCUAACACCGGAUAAUGUCUUCGGACCAAAGAUUUAUCGCCUUUGGAUGGGCCCGCGUUGGAUUAGCUAGUUGGUAGGGUAAAAGCCUACCAAGGCGACGAUCCAUAGCUGGUCUGAGAGGAUGAUCAGCCACACUGGGACUGAGACACGGCCCAGAAUCCUACGGGAGGCAGCAGUGGGGAAUAUUGGACAAUGGGCGAAAGCCUGAUCCAGCAAUGCCGCGUGAGUGAUGAAGGCCUUAGGGUUGUAAAGCUCUUUUACCCGGGAUGAUAAUGACAGUACCGGGAGAAUAAGCACCGGCUAACUCCGUG